rnacentral:rRNA from 1 species
UACAGAGGGUGCAAGCGUUAAUCGGAAUUACUGGGCGUAAAGGGCGCGUAGGUGGAAACGUCAGUGAAAUGUGAAAGACCCGAGCUUAACUUGGGGCUGUCAUCUCAUACUGCGUAUCUUGAGUAUGGGAGAGGGAAGUGGAAUUUCUGGUGUAGCGGUGAAAUGCGUAGAUAUCAGAAGGAACAUCCGUGGCGAAGGCGACUUCCUGGCCCAAUACUGACACUGAGGCGCGAAAGCGUGGGGAGCGAACAGG